rnacentral:rRNA from 1 species
GAUGAACGCUGGCGGCAUGCUUAGCACAUGCAAGUCGAACGGGAAGUGGUGUUUCCAGUGGCGAACGGGUGAGUAACGCGUAAGAACCUGCCCUUGGGAGGGGAACAACAACUGGAAACGGUUGCUAAUACCCCGUAGGCUGAGGAGCAAAAGGAGAAAUCCGCCCAAGGAGGGGCUCGCGUCUGAUUAGCUAGUUGGUGAGGUAAUAGCUUACCAAGGCGAUGAUCAGUAGCUGGUCCGAGAGGAUGAUCAGCCACACUGGGACUGAGACACGGCCCAGACUCCUACGGGAGGCAGCAGUGGGGAAUUUUCCGCAAUGGGCGAAAGCCUGACGGAGCAAUGCCGCGUGGAGGUGGAAGGCCUACGGGUCGUCAACUUCUUUUCUCGGAGAAGAAACAAUGACGGUAUCUGAGGAAUAAGCAUCGGCUAACUCUGU